CACCGCCUGGGGAGUACGACCGCAAGGUUAAAACUCAAAUGAAUUGACGGGGACCCGCACAAGUAGUGGAGCAUGUGGUUUAAUUCGAAGAUACGCGCAGAACCUUACCAACACUUGACAUGUUUGUCGCGACUUUAAGAGAUUAAAGUCUUCGGUUCGGCCGGACAAAACACAGGUGCUGCAUGGCUGUCGUCAGCCCGUGUCGUGAGAUGUUGGGUUAAGUCCCGCAACGAGCGCAACCCUCACUUUUAGUUGCCAUCAUUAAGUUGGGCACUCUGAAAGAACUGCCAGUGAUAAGCUGGAGGAAGGUGGGGAUGACGUCAAGUCCUCAUGGCCCUUACGUGUUGGGCUACACACGUGCUACAAUGGUAUUUACAACAGGAAGCAAGACGGCGACGUUAAGCAAAUCCUUAAAAAAUACCUCAGUUCGGAUUGCACUCUGCAACUCGAGUGCAUGAAGCUGGAAUUACUAGUAAUCGUGGAUCAGCGUGCCACGGUGAAUGCGUUCCCGGGUCUUGUACACACCGCCCGUCACACCAUGGGAGUUGGUUCUACCUUAAGGCAAGGUUUUAAACCCUUGACCACGGUAUAGUCAGCGACUGGGGUGAAGUCGUAACAAGGUAGCCGUAGGGGAACCUGCGGCUGGAUUACCUCCUUUCUAAGGAUGAAUGAAAUUUUAAUUUCAUUCUAAAAAAUAUACAGGUUAAUGUUGACCGUCCUCAUUUCUCUUCUUAAGUUAGUGUUUCUCUUGCAUGGGGGCCGGUAGCUCAGUUGGUUAGAGCACACCCUUGAUAAGGGUGGGGUCGAAAGUUCGAGUCUUUCUCGGCCCACCAAUUCAAAGAUCAUGGGGGAUUAGCUCAGCUGGGAGAGCGCCUGAUUUGCAUUCAGGAGGUCAGCGGUUCGAUCCCGCUAUCCUCCACCAAAAACACUUAGUUAUACAAAUUGUGAAUAAAAUAAUAAUUAAUAUCAAUAUCUAUAUCCGAACAUUAGUAAUGUUAUUAGCUAGUGUUCAAAUAAAAAUUUGAUUCAACACAGAAUUUUUUUCUG
rnacentral:sRNA from 1 species